UACGAAGGGUGCAAGCGUUAAUCGGAAUUACUGGGCGUAAAGGGCGCGUAGGCGGCCUUCUAAGUCGAACGUGAAAUCCCCGGGCUCAACCCGGGAACUGCGUCCGAGACUGGAAGGCUUGAAUCCGGGAGAGGGAUGUGGAAUUCCAGGUGUAGCGGUGAAAUGCGUAGAUAUCUGGAGGAACACCGGUGGCGAAGGCGGCAUCCUGGACCGGCAUUGACGCUGAGGCGCGAAAGCCAGGGGAGCAAACGGG
rnacentral:rRNA from 1 species